rnacentral:rRNA from 1 species
UACGUAGGGUGCGAGCGUUAAUCGGAAUUACUGGGCGUAAAGCGUGCGCAGGCGGUUUUGUAAGACAGGCGUGAAAUCCCCGGGCUCAACCUGGGAAUGGCGCUUGUGACUGCAAAGCUGGAGUGCGGCAGAGGGGGAUGGAAUUCCGCGGUGUAGCAGUGAAAUGCGUAGAUAUGCGGAGGAACACCGAUGGCGAAGGCAAUCCCCGUGGGCCUGCACUGGACGCUCCAUGCACGAAAGCGUGGGGAGCAAACAGGA